rnacentral:rRNA from 1 species
UACGUAGGGGGCUAGCGUUGUCCGGAAUCAUUGGGCGUAAAGCGCGUGUAGGCGGUCCGGUAAGUCCGCUGUGAAAGUCGGGGGCUCAACCCUCGAAUGCCGGUGGAUACUGUCGGGCUUGAGUGCGGGAGAGGCGAGUGGAAUUCCUGGUGUAGCGGUGAAAUGCGCAGAUAUCAGGAGGAACACCGAUUGCGAAGGCAGCUCGCUGGAACGUUACUGACGCUGAGACGCGAAAGCGUGGGGAGCGAACAGG